UCACUGAACAACUUGAAUAGACCGCUCCGAGCGAGUGCUAUUUUAACAAUGGAAAGAAAUGAGCGACGAACAAAAUCUUUACCGUUUCGUUUUCAACGUCUACGCAUGGUAACACAGUGGAACGCCGAUUAUCCGUGCUCAUUGAAACUCGGCGCCUGCCCUGGAUUAGCGAAAAGCACGGAUAAUAGGGACAACACUUUUUAUUGGUGCACUUUACAAAACGAAUCUUAUCUGUUUGGUCAAACUUGAGUAAAUUGCAUCAUACCAAUAAGAGAAAAUCCAUCGAGUAAAAAGAUAUACCGACAUUAUUUAAGAAACUUAAGCGAACCAAAAAUAUAUAACAAUACCCGCUAAAAAAAUGGAAUCAAAUAUGGAAAAAUGUUCACAAAAGUAAUAUGACCAGCAACUAAAAAAAAACUUUACUACUAUCUCAUCCAUCGAACAACCAAUAGCAAUGAAGCGUUGAAACACAUGAAUAUUAGAACUUCGGACAAGUGUCCAAACUGCAGUGAAAUCGAAAGUACGCUACAUGCAUCAAAAUCCAAACGUAAUGAAAGACAUUCAUUGAACUGACUAAAACUAUAUGUAAGAGGAAAAAACUGAGCUGGGAAGGUUUCUUAUUUCCUGAAGGCAAUCAAAGGAAUUAUGUACAUUUGAAAUGUUUCAUAAAUUACAUAAUAAUAAAUAACUAAAUUACAAAUUAAUAAUGAACUAAGCAAGAACCCUGAAAUAGAUGUAAGCAAAGAACUGCUA